rnacentral:rRNA from 1 species
UGAGUGGCGGACGGGUGAGUAACGCGUGGGCAACCUGGCCUGUACAGGGGGAUAACACUUAGAAAUAGGUGCUAAUACCGCAUAACGGGAGAAGCCGCAUGGCUUUUUCCUGAAAACUCCGGUGGUACAGGAUGGGCCCGCGUCUGAUUAGCCAGUUGGCAGGGUAACGGCCCACCAAGGCGACGAUCAGUAGCCGGCCUGAGAGGGUGGACGGCCACAUUGGGACUGAGACACGGCCCAAACUCCUACGGGAGGCAGCAG